rnacentral:rRNA from 1 species
UAAUAAAAAAUUAUUAAAGUUAUUUGAUUUAAUAAAAUUAUUUAAUAAAAUCAAUUUUAUUAAUAAAAAUUUUAGUAUUGGAUAUAAAAAAAAUAAUUUAAAUGAUAGUUAAUUAGUAUUGUAAAAGAAAAUUGAAAUAUUUGAAAAUAAAUUAAUUUAAAAGUAAAUUUAAAAUAUUGUACCUUGUGUAUCAGGGUUUAUUAAUUAAAAUAUAAAAAUUUUAUAUGUCCCGAUUUUAAGAGAUCUAAUAAUGUAUUUUAGUUUACGUUUUAAAGUAAUUAAAAAUAUAUUAUUAGUAAUGAAACGUUAUUCGUUCUUAAUUAUAUCUGGUUUUUUAAGAAAUAAAUUUAAUUUAGAUAAUAAAAAGUAUUUAUUAAUUUAUUAUUAAUAAAUAAUUUUUAUUAUUAAUAUUUUAAGGGAUAAGCUUUGAAAUAUUUCCUAUAAUUAUUAUUAUAAUUUAAAAUUUAUAAGCUUAGAAAUAGCUAUUAAUUUAAAAAAUGUUAUAAUUUAUUUUAAAUUAAAAAUAAUUUUUAUAAAUUUAGGGAUUUUAUUAAAAUAUAUUUUAAAAUUAAAGUAAAAUAAAAAUAAUGAUAAAAUUAGUAUAAAUAAAUUGUAAUAUUUUAAUUAAUUUAUUAGGUUAAAUUAAGGAACUCGGCAAAUAAACACUCGCCUGUUUAACAAAAACAUGUCUUUUAGAAUAUAAUUUAAAGUCUAAUCUGCCCACUGAUAUUUUAAAGGGCCGCGGUAUCUUGACCGUGCAAAGGUAGCAUAAUAAUUAGUUUUUUAAUUGAGGACUAGAAUGAAUGAUUGAACGAGGUGUUAACUGUCUCAAUUUAAAUGAAAUUAUAAUUUAACUUUUAAGUUAAAAGGCUUAAAUAUAAUUAAAGGACGAGAAGACCCUAUAGAGCUUUAUAUUUAUAUAAUAGUUUUUUUAUAGUUUAUUUUAAAUUUUAUUAAAAUAAAUAUUUUGUUGGGGUGACAAGAAGAUUUAUUAAACUCUUUUUAUUUUUUUAACAAAAAUUAUUGAACGUUUGAUCCAGUUUUACUGAUUAUAAGACUAAGUUACCUUAGGGAUAACAGCGUAAUUUUUUUUAAGAGUUCAUAUCGACAAAAAAGAUUGCGACCUCGAUGUUGGAUUAAGAGUUAUUUUUGGGUGUAGAAGUUCAAAGUUUAGGUCUGUUCGACCUUUAAAUUCUUACAUGAUCUGAGUUCAGACCGGCGUAAGCCAGGUCGGUUUCUAUCCUUAACAUUAAUAAUUAAUAUUUUAGUACGAAAGGACCAAAUAUUGAAAAUAAUUUUUUUAUAGUGAUUAUCAUUAAUUU